rnacentral:pre_miRNA from 2 species
GUCUCCUGUGCCUGCUGUGCUGAUAAUCAGUGUGUGACGUUGGCUGGCUCAGUUCAGCAGGAACAGGGGA